rnacentral:rRNA from 1 species
UACGAAGGGGGCUAGCGUUGCUCGGAAUCACUGGGCGUAAAGCGCACGUAGGCGGAUUGUUAAGUCAGGGGUGAAAUCCUGGAGCUCAACUCCAGAACUGCCUUUGAUACUGGCGAUCUCGAGUCCGGGAGAGGUCAGUGGAACUGCGAGUGUAGAGGUGAAAUUCGUAGAUAUUCGCAAGAACACCAGUGGCGAAGGCGGCUCACUGGCCCGGUACUGACGCUAAGGUGCGAAAGCGUGGGGAGCAAACAGG